AGAUAUUCCACUAGUGAUAGACACCUUCCACAACAAACUGCAGUGAACAUGUCUUAUGGACCUAAAAGCCCGAUCAGGGUGUUGACCUUGGCCACGUCAAUGUCAUAGUGCGUCAUCACAGCCUGUUGGAUCUGGUGCUUGUUGGCCUUGACAUCCACAAUGAACACAAGUGUGUUGUUGUCUUCAGUCUUCAUGGCUGACUCAGUGGUCAGGAGGAACUUGAUGACAGCCUAGUGGUCAAGCUUGUUUCUCCUGGGAGCACUCUUCUGAGGGUAUUUGGGCUGUCUUGGGCCACUGGAAGGUUGGAGAAACGGGGGAGGAGAGUGAAAGGGAUUUUCCAGGCUCUGUUUAACUCUGUCCUGCUGAGUGACAUCACCCAUCAUUACUAGGAACUUCAUUGGAGUUGCCAGCUUGCUGCCUGCCCUAUGAAAUUUGGACUCGUGCAU